CCUACGGGAGGCAGCAGUGAGGAAUAUUGGACAAUGGGCGCAAGCCUGAUCCAGCCAUGCCGCGUGCAGGAUGACGGUCCUAUGGAUUGUAAACUGCUUUUGCACAGGAAGAAACAACAUUACGUGUAAUGUCUUGACGGUACUGUGAGAAUAAGGAUCGGCUAACUCCGUGCCAGCAGCCGCGGUAAUACGGAGGAUCCAAGCGUUAUCCGGAAUCAUUGGGUUUAAAGGGUCCGUAGGCGGUUUAGUAAGUCAGUGGUGAAAGCCCAUCGCUCAACGGUGGAACGGCCAUUGAUACUGCUAGACUUGAAUUAUUAGGAAGUAACUAGAAUAUGUAGUGUAGCGGUGAAAUGCUUAGAGAUUACAUGGAAUACCAAUUGCGAAGGCAGGUUACUACUAAUGGAUUGACGCUGAUGGACGAAAGCGUGGGUAGCGAACAGGAUUAGAUACCCUGGUAGUCCACGCCGUAAACGAUGGAUACUAGCUGUUGGGAGNAUUACUAGUGUGUAGAGAAGUAGAUAAGUAUCCACCGUCGGGUAGGUACGGUUCGUCGAAGAAAGUAGAACGUACGAAGUAGUAAGUUAGUACGGACGUGAGACGUUGCCGACGGACGACGACGAGGGAGGUAGGG
rnacentral:rRNA from 1 species